GUUAAAUUGUGGGUCCUACAUAGGAAUUAAAGAGAGUCACUUGUAAUCUGAACGAAAGAAACUUCCCUGCUGCUUGGGCGCCCUUCAUAACACAUGGCCCUGCUCCCAAUCUUAUCCCAGUCAGAAAUCGACGGGCUCACACCCACAAGCGGAAGGAAUCCCUCCAGCCCAUCUCCAGUAAAAAUACCUGAACACCAAAGGUUGACAAGUCUUGAGUCUUCAAAACAAACGUAGAAACUUCCAGAUUCUUCAGAUUACUUGAAAGUUCCAAGGACAUAUACAAACUAUUCAAACUUUUCCUUUUG